GACGAACGCUGGCGGCGUGCUUAAUACAUGCAAGUCAACUUGACUUUAGAUAGCAAUAUCGAAAAGUAGGGUGGCGCACGGGUGCGUAACGCGUAGGUAAUCUGCCCUGAGGUCUGACAUAACCCGUCGAAAGGCGGGCUAACAUCAGAUGAUAUAUAAUCACGACAUCGUGGAAAUAUCAAAUCUUCGGAGCCUUGGGAUGAGCCUGCGUCUGAUUAGGUAGUUGGCGGAGUAAUAGCCCACCAAGCCUACGAUCAGUAGCUGGUCUGAGAGGAUGAUCAGCCACACUGGAACUGAGACACGGUCCAGACUCCGUACGGGAGGCAGCA
rnacentral:rRNA from 1 species